CAGGACCAGGUGUGCCAGGUGUGCCAGGGCCAGGUGUGACGAGGCCAGGUGUGCCAGGUGUGCCAGGGCCAGGUGUGACAGGGCCACGUGUGUUCAGGUGUGUCAGGGUUGUCCAGGUCAACCAAGGUCAGGGCCAAGGAUGUCCAGGUGUGUCCAGGUGUGUUGGGGCCAGGUGUGACAGGGAUGUCCAGGUGUGACAGGGCCAGGUGUGUCCAGGUGUGUCCAGGUGUGUCCAGGUGUGUCCAGGUGUUUCCAGGUGUGUCAGGGCCAGGUGUGUCCAGGUGUGUCAGGGCCAGAUGUGUCAGGGCCAGGUGUGACAGGGCCAGGUGUGUCCAGGUGUGUCGGGGUUGUCCAGGUGUCAGGGCCAAGGAUGUCCAGGUGUGACCGAGCCAGGUGUGUUUGGGCCAGGUGUGAUAGGUGUGUCCAGGUGUUUCGGGGCUGUCCAGGUGUGACAGGACCAGGUGUGUUGGGGCCAGGUGACAGGGAUGUCCAGGUGUGACAGGGCCAGGUGUGUCCAGGUGUUUUGGGGCUGUCCAGGUGUCAGGGCCAGGUGUCAGCAGGAGCUGGGAGUUACUGGGUGAACUGGGGGUUACUGGGGGUUACUGGGGGUUACUGGGAACUCUGGGGGUUACUGGGUGAACUGGGGGUUACUGGGGGUUACUGGGGGUUACUGGGAACUCUGGGAGUUACUGGGUGAACUGGGGGUUACUGGGUAAACUGGGGUGAACUGGGGGUUACUGGGAGCACUGGGAGUUACUGGGAGCACUGGGGGUUACUGGAUAAACUGGGGUGAACUGGGAGUUACUGGGGUGAACUGGGGGUUACUGGGUGAACUGGGAGUUACUGGGUGAACUGGGGGUUACUGGAUAAACUGGGGUAAACUGGGGGUUACUGGGAGCACUGGGAGCCCACGUGUGCCCAGCUGUGCCGCGCUGGGGGCGGGGCUUUCCCCGCGAUGGGCGGGGUUUACACCACGGGGAGGGGAAGCUUUUUCCCGCCAAGCGGGCGUGGCUUUGCCCAUAUAUGGACUGGACUUUCCCGCCCUCUCCCCGAGGCCACGCCCCCCGCUUGGCGCAGUCCGCGCGCGCCG
rnacentral:lncRNA from 1 species